GUCAGUAUGCAGGUGGCUAAUUUGUCUCCAGUGGUUUGUGAGAAAAGUAACUCUCAACUGUUAAAUUUAUCGGAUGAAAAGUAAAUUAUACAGUGUUCUCAUUCUGGGGUUCGGGUUCGGGACAGAACAAGUUUUUCCUGAAUGAUGUCAACAUUCAUCCAAUGGCAUGAGUUUGGGGUGUGACUAAAGGACUAAACAGGCAUUAGAAAUCAGUUUCUGGGGAUGUUUUUGGAGACCCCUGGCAGUUUGAGGCACCCUGGAUGAAAGAGCAGAGACAUGGAAAAAUGUUCAACAUCAGCCACAUUUUUAACCAAGCCAAGAAAAAGUAAUUAUCUAUUAUAUCAAUUAUACACUGACAGAAAUACUCUCUAAUACUCUCAGAAAUAGAUCUCUAGAGAAAUUUAAAAUAAACCCUCUAGCCCUUUUUAAAACAACAUGAUGAAUGCUUGAAAAAUGCUUGCUUUUCAAGGAUAUGCAUGUUAUGUCACGCUUGUAUUAUUGUAUUACAGAAUGCUUGAUGCACUUAUUCAUGCAUAUGACAGUUGCAUAUUCAUGCAUAUAAAUACACAUGCACACUAGUCAUGUAUCGCUCUUCUUUAAUUUACCUUACUGCAAAAAGGCAGUUUGUUUAAAACAUAUGCAUAUGAAAAUGAGCAUACGGGAAAAUACACAAGCUUUAAGCUCCAACAAGCUCAGAC